GCUUUCAGCUGGAAUGUUAUCAACUUCGGUCACGCUGAUUAUCUCAGGCUGAUCAGGAAGGCUGGUACCAGGAGUGAGUGACUAAAUGAAGAAAUUACUAAUUAACAAAUGCUUGGGUGGACAAUCCUUCAAAAUUUAGGAUCAAUGGGAGGAGACAGAAGGAGUCUUGGGAGGAUUUUUAAAAUAUGCCAGAGCUGGCUGGGUACAGUGGCUCACACCUGUAACCUGAGGACUUUGAGGUGGAGACGGGCAGACCACCUGAGCUCAGGAGCUCAAGACCAGCCUGGGCAACAUGGCAAAACCCUGUCUCUACUAACACUAUAAAAAGUUAGCUGGGCGUGUUGGUGCAUGCUGUAGUCCCAGCUACUCAGGAGGCUGAGCCACGAGAAUCGCUUGAACCUGGGAGAUGGAGGUUGAAGUGAGCCAAGAUCGCACCAUUGCACUCCAGCCUGGGGAAAAAAAAAAGCCAGGCCUCCUAAUGUACUCAUUUAAACAUCACUUGUGUCCACCUGGGUUCAGAAUUGCGCUGGACAUGGGAUACACAAAGCGGGAGUGGAAUUUUCAGGAAGCAGCUGUGCUGUGGGUGACGGUCAUACUUUAUUCUCUAAAACUCUCCAGUUUCAAUUGGCCUCUUGGUGCCAAAGCACCAUGGCGUGUUACACCUAUCAGAUCGGGCACACUGCCCCUUCUUCCCAACCUACGAGCUGAAAUGGCCAGCACUGCGCCUUCCAGAACCCAGCGUAGAUGCACAGCUGCCACGGAGGUAGGAAGAAUGAUUCGUUUGCCACCAAAAGCCCAGUUUCUCCAACAGGUGAAUCCCUAGGCCAGCCCGGCCCCUUCCCACACACCCCUACCCCGAGACGGGUGCAGAAUCAGCAGCGGGGAUCAUCCAGAGACUCUCGCAGUCCACGGCAGGUGUCGGAGUGGGCCUCAUUCCAGAGUUGUGGUGGCCGCUCCACCUGGCGAGCUUCGAGGGGACUCCGGCAGGCGCUCGCUGUGGGGUCCUCCCACCAGUCUUCUCAGCACAGGAACGGUGCCUUCACAUUGGUCUUCCGGGGCUUAAAAGCAUAUCAUUCCUGCUUGCUCUUCAGAUGCAAACUCCCCCUCCAAGGAUACCUCCAGGUUCCCUGCCAGCUCACUUGACUCACAUGGCAAUGGUCACCGGGCUGCCUGAGCCCAAAUCAAGCACCGUUUAUUAGGGGGAAGCUCCGUUAUCCAGAAAGCUCAUCUUUGAAGAGCUACCCAUUUCCUGCCAAAGUUGUGGCGGGAAGGCCUUAGGUACUAGAAAACCUUGGGGAAUGGCAAUUAAAGGAUUAUCAUUCUUACUUAUUUGUUUGGAUAAGCAGCAAUCACCCUUCGGAUGCUUAUUGGUGAGAAUAUUUCUAAAAGUGUCCUGCACAUUUCCCUGCUUUGAUGAAUGGAACGGCAGGGCAGGAUUUAACUGUCUGAUGGCUACGGUUUUGGGAAAGUGCCAGAACCUCCACGUCAGCCACCCCAGAGCCACAGGCAGGGUAUGAGCCACAGCAAUGGGCCCCAAGAAAGAGCCCCACACCCACCAUGGUCCACGGAAGACGCUGCUUACUGGCCCCGGGUUACCUGGAGUCAUGUGCAUUCUCCUUACAUCAAGUGAAGAUAAUAUUUUGUUUCCUUCCCACUUUUUCUCUAACACAAGCCACCCCAGUUCUCCCUUCUGACAACAGGCAAGUGGACCCUAGUAGACCUUCCAGAAAAGCCUUAGAGAGCACCCCCAAAUGCUCACAUUUGUCAGCUGUAAUUCCACCCUCAGUUAAAACCUGAUUCUCAAUGUGACUUGGCCAACGCAGCUUGCAAAGCAAGAACGUCUUCAUCUAAGGUUGAAAACAUCAGUUGUUUGGGUUGUGAGAAAAGAAAAGCCCACAAGGUUUCCGAGGCUUGGUGCUGUUUCUCACUGUCCUCAGCUCCUGAUUCUGCAGCUGGUUCUCUCUCCAAGCACUAGCAAAACCCUGCCCUAGGAGCCCCCAGACUCUGAGAGCCCAUGACCAAAAAGAAAAGGAAAGCCAAGUUGGGGAAGAACAGGGGCCCCCAACUCCACAGCCCUCCACUCUGCCCAGAGGGCCCACCCUGGGCUGCCUGGAACCCCCUAAAGUUGCCACCCCCGCAACACAGUAGUGGGGCAGUUCCUGGCAGCGCCUGCAGCCCAUGGGCUGGCUCUGUACCCGCAGCCCCGCCAAGCGUCUGUUAUCUUAUUUACUGGAAUCUGCACAGCCAGGCUCUAGCUCACCGGUGACUAAGGAGCUGCAGCCAUUAUUACCAGGCAGAUGGCAGACUCCCUAAAAGCAGACAUUAAACAAUAAAAUGCCACCACAUACCUUGCCCACAAAAUAAAAUCAAAACAAACACCUAA
rnacentral:lncRNA from 1 species